rnacentral:tRNA from 1 species
ACCUGACUGGCUCAGUUGGUAGAGCGUGGGACUCUUGAUCUCAGGGUUGUGAGGUUGAGCCCCAUGUUGGGUG